UGGGAUGGGGAGAGGGUCUGUGGGAUCUGGAUUUUGGGCCGGAAUUCCCCGCUGGAAUUUGGGGCUGGAAUUUGGGGCUGGAAUUCCUCCCUGGGGUUCCCAAACCCCGCCCGGGUGUCCCCGCGGUGCUUUGGGAUCCCCUCCAGCAGGAGAAAAUUCUUUAUUUUGGGAAUGCGGCUCCUCCAGGGAGGGAAUUCCACGGAAAUCCUGGAGCUACGCGGCCCUGGCAAGGAAAAAACCCCAAAUUCCUAAAAAUUCCCCCAGAAUUCCCCGUUA